UACGAAGGGGGCGAGCGUUGUUCGGAUUUACUGGGCGUAAAGGGCGCGCAGGCGGCUCAUUUUGUCAGGCGUGAAAGCCCCGGGCUUAACCUGGGAAUGGCAUUUGGGACUGCAAGGCUGGAGUGCGGCAGAGGAGACUGGAAUUCCUGGUGUAGCAGUGAAAUGCGUAGAUAUCAGGAGGAAUACCGAUGGCGAAGGCAGGUCUCUGGGCUGACACUGACGCUCAUGCACGAAAGCGUGGGGAGCAAACAGG
rnacentral:rRNA from 1 species